rnacentral:rRNA from 1 species
GAUGAACGCUAGCUACAGGCUUAACACAUGCAAGUCGAGGGGUAGCAGGGUAGCAAUACCGCUGACGACCGGCGCACGGGUGAGUAACCCGUAUCCAACCUUCCCAUAACUCGGGGAUAGCCUUUCGAAAGAAAGAUUAAUACCCGAUAGUACUUAAGAAAGGCAUCUUUUUUAAGUUAAAGCUUUAUUGGUUAUGGAUGGGGAUGCGUUCCAUUAGAUAGUUGGUGAGGUAACGGCUCACCAAGUCUUCGAUGGAUAGGGGUUCUGAGAGGAAGGUCCCCCACAUUGGUACUGAGACACGGACCAAACUCCUACGGGAGGCAGCAGUGAGGAAUAUUGGUCAAUGGGCGAGAGCCUGAACCAGCCAAGUAGCGUGAAGGAUGAAGGUCCUAUGGAUUGUAAACUUCUUUUAUAGUAGAAUAAAGUGAUCCACGUGUGGGUUUUUGUAUGUAUACUAUGAAUAAGGAUCGGCUAACUCCGUGCCAGCAGCCGCAGUAA